ACAGCAGCCGCCGCGGUAAUACGUAGGGCGCAAGCGUUGUCCGGAAUUAUUGGGCGUAAAGAGCUCGUAGGCGGUCUGUCGCGUCUGGUGUGAAAUCCCGAGGCUCAACCUCGGGCUUGCAUCGGGUACGGGCAGACUAGAGUGCGGUAGGGGAGACUGGAAUUCCUGGUGUAGCGGUGGAAUGCGCAGAUAUCAGGAGGAACACCGAUGGCGAAGGCAGGUCUCUGGGCCGCAACUGACGCUGAGGAGCGAAAGCAUGGGGAGCGAACAGGAUUAGAUACCCCAGUAGUCCCUGUCUCUUAUAC
rnacentral:rRNA from 1 species